UACGUAGGGUGCGAGCGUUAAUCGGAAUUACUGGGCGUAAAGCGUGCGUAGGCGGUUUUGUAAGCCAGAUGUGAAAUCCCCGGGCUUAACCUGGGAAUGGCAUUUGGGACUGCAAGGCUUGAGUGCGGCAGAGGAGACUGGAAUUCCUGGUGUGGCAGUGAAAUGCGUAGAUAUCAGGAGGAAUACCGAUGGCGAAGGCAGGUCUCUGGGCUGACACUGACGCUCAUGCACGAAAGCGUGGGGAGCAAACAGG
rnacentral:rRNA from 1 species